rnacentral:rRNA from 1 species
AACGAACGCUGGCGGCAUGCCUAACACAUGCAAGUCGAACGAGACCUUCGGGUCUAGUGGCGCACGGGUGCGUAACGCGUGGGAACCUGCCCUUAGGUUCGGAAUAACUCCCCGAAAGGGGUGCUAAUACCGGAUAAUGUCUUCGGACCAAAGAUUUAUCGCCUUUGGAUGGGCCCGCGUUGGAUUAGCUAGUUGGUAGGGUAAAAGCCUACCAAGGCGACGAUCCAUAGCUGGUCUGAGAGGAUGAUCAGCCACACUGGGACUGAGACACGGCCCAGACUCCUACGGGAGGCAGCAGUGGGGAAUAUUGGACAAUGGGCGAAAGCCUGAUCCAGCAAUGCCGCGUGAGUGAUGAAGGCCUUAGGGUUGUAAAGCUCUUUUACCCGGGAUGAUAAUAACAGUACCGGGAGAAUAAGCUCCGGCUAACUCCGU